ensembl:snoRNA
AGUUUGCCAGAGUGAAAGAAAGGCCUGUUAAGUCCAUAUUUUGGCUGAUCACCCUGAUUCAACAUAUGCUCUAUGCAGACU